rnacentral:rRNA from 1 species
AUUGAACGCUGGCGGCAGGCCUAACACAUGCAAGUCGAGCGGUAGCACAGAGAGCUUGCUCUCGGGUGACGAGCGGCGGACGGGUGAGUAAUGUCUGGGAAACUGCCUGAUGGAGGGGGAUAACUACUGGAAACGGUAGCUAAUACCGCAUAACGUCGCAAGACCAAAGAGGGGGACCUUCGGGCCUCUUGCCAUCGGAUGUGCCCAGAUGGGAUUAGCCAGUAGGUGGGGUAAUGGCUCACCUAGGCGACGAUCCCUAGCUGGUCUGAGAGGAUGACCAGCCACACUGGAACUGAGACACGGUCCAGACUCCUACGGGAGGCAGCAGUGGGGAAUAUUGCACAAUGGGCGCAAGCCUGAUGCAGCCAUGCCGCGUGUACGAAGAAGGCCUUCGGGUUGUAAAGUACUUUCAGCGGGGAGGAAGGCAUUGCGGUUAAUAACCGCAGUGAUUGACGUUACCCGCAGAAGAAGCACCGGCUAACUCCGUGCCAGCCGCCGCGGUAA